GGUAGGAUAGUCAGUUUUACGAGGGGUUGACCAUUUCUAGUUCUGUUUCCGUAAAGAAAAGUCGAGAGCAUGUUUCCAGAGCAUGUUUACAAGAACACACAGAGCGAGGACGUCUCUGUGGUUGCAUUAGAGUCUUUGGAAUAUAUGACCCAAUUAUUUAACAGCCUGACUCCUUUCACAUGGAACAAAGAAACACUGAACCUGUUCAAAAACAGAUGACCUAGUUAAGUUAAGAAAUUGGAGGGAUGCGUCGGGUGUGGUGUUGGGGCAUCCUCUGGAGAUGGAGGGUCAGUGACUUCAGGCAAAGGGUCUCUGAAAACGUAUUUCAACAAGCUGAACACAAUCUUGAAACAGAAGGUUUACAAUAUCAAAUGCACUCGAAAAUAGGCUAAAUUAAUCGGAGGAAAAGUUCUAGAUCACCACAAAUCGGAGGAAUUUCGCUGAAACUUGGAACUUCCAAGCGCCGUUUUUGUGUGUCGUCGGAUGCGUUGGCGCAGCACCU